GUUGGACCUUCAACUGUAGGCAAGUUUACUAAAAAAGACAUCAGUGCCGGAGGUGUUGCUUUCAAUACUUCAUCAAAUGCAUUGGUUGCUCCAGAACCCACCAAACCAAUAAUGGGAUUAGACAUGUUGGAAGCAGUAACUAACCCAGGGGUCGUGCUUGGAGAAAUUCCAGCCUCAUGCUUUUGCCUUGGCUCAUAAAUCACCAUACAAGAAGUAUCUGGAUAAACAACUUUUGCAGAUACUGCUGAAUUGCUUGUCAUGCUUGUCAGACCUGUACUAUCCUUAUCUACAAUCCCAAGUCCAUUAGAAAUUGCAGACUUCUCCAUUUUCUUACUAAUAUUUUUAGCAAGCCACUCUUGACGGGAUAAAUGAUCCAAGUCCUUGGAAGAGCAUGGCCAAAGAUCCAUGAAACUAUACCGUGAGACGACUUCUUGCAACGAACCCUCUAAUGCUGAUGCUCCAUCUUCACCUGACCUCGAAAGAGCUUCUUUUCUUCUUUGCUCAACCUUUAACAUGCUAGCUAGAUCUCCAUAUGUUUGCUCGAAUUGAGUAAAUCGUUUCCAGACCUCAACAGAUUCUUCUGGUGGCAACGAGCUUAAUGCCCUCUCAAACAAAGCCCGGAUGUUUCUGUCAUCAUUCAAACGAGACAAGAAAUCUGCAUAUUCGAGAAUAUAUACAGGCUCAUGCAUAAAUCGUUUCAAUCCUGCUUCGAAAACAUUGUGUGCCAUCUUUGGAUCCUUGUCAAGACAAAACGCCAUCAAGGCAUAUGCAACAUACACAUGAUACGUGCAGUUUGGGGAUUUGCGAGCAUCUAGGAAGUACUUGCGUGCUGCUUCUACCCCUUCAUUCCUUCUUAGAAAGCGAAUGAAUUGUAUAUGUGCUAGUGCUGUUGUAUUAACACCAUCACCCAAAAGACUUUCAUAUAUUUUCUUUGCUGGCUGGAUUGCUCCACGGGAUUCUUCCAACUCAGCAUAUGCAUAUUUCAGCAUUUCUGAAUCUGGAAGAGCCUUUAAAGCCCGUUGAAAUACUUUGAUUGCAGCAUCUGUAGAGCCACUUUUUGCAUGCCAAGUAGCAUAGUCAUACCAUAUAUCAGGAUAAUGGUACAAAUACAUCAGGCACUGCUCAUAGGUGAAUACAAUUCGCUUAUUGGAGGACACACUGUCUAUCCUUUGGGGGUUUCCUUUUUCAAAAGCUAAAAGUCUUUUCCAAGCCAUCCACUGCAGUUCUUCCUUGUGGGAGCCAGUUGGUGGUACAGCUAGCAUAUUCCAAUCAAUUUCAUCAACAUAUUUCUUCCGCUCCCUAUAGACAGCCCUAGCACUGUUAUAUUUUGGUUGAUAGUCAGAUAAUAGUCCUUUGGCCAAUUGUCGGCUAACAGAGUUUUCAAAAUUUUCAUAGUCCUUCCAAUCCAAAGUUGCUCAACAUGAUAGGUAGGAGUAACAAUGGCUUUUUGGUAUGCUUUCCGUACAGCAGUCAUCCGCUGUGACUCUUCCUGUGCAUUUAGAGCCUGC
rnacentral:misc_RNA from 1 species